GGCGAAACGAGAAGGCACCUCUCUCAGGUAAUAACAUUUUGAAUUUCAUUUAGAUGUGCAAAAGCAUCUUUAAUCUUAAAAGACGAUCAGACCCUAUGGAGCUUUUUAAACUCAACUCUAAAUAUAGCUACUUUAGAUACAUUUUUUGAUUGAAAGUUUUUCGUUGGGGCGACGAAGAGUUAAAAAUAACACUCUCUUGAACAAAUAUAAUUAAAUAAAAUAUUGACCCUAGAAGAUAGAUUAAAAGACUAAGUUACCCUAGGGAUAACAGCGUUAUUUCUUUAGAGAGUUCAAAUCGAUAAAGAAGUUUGCGACCUCGAUGUUGGAUCAAAGUUUCUAUAAGGUGAAGCCGCUUUAUAAGAGGGUCUGUUCGACCUUUAAAUCUUUACGUGAUCUGAGU
rnacentral:rRNA from 1 species